AUGAAGCUGGGUGGCCUCUGCCUCCUGCUCCUCCUCGCCGUCCUUCUCACCCUCAAUGCAGAGUUCCAAGCAGUUGAUGUAGGUAUCUGUGUGACGGAGUGCAAGGUAGACCAGGACUGUGGGGCAGGAAGACGAUGCACCAGCAAUGGAUGUGGCCGGGUCUGCUCCCCAGUCCGGCGAAGAGAGGCCUGCGAGCACCAGUGCAGAGAAGACAGGGACUGUGGGAGUGGACAUCAGUGCGUGAGGAAGGGCUGUGGGCACGUCUGCGCCCCCGUCCAUCAAGUCGAUGUAGGUAUCUGUGUGACGGAGUGCCGUGUAGACCAGGACUGUGGGGAAGGAAGACAAUGCACCAGCAAUGGAUGUGGCCGUGUCUGCUCCCCAGCCCAGCAAAGAGAGGCCUGCGAGCACCAAUGCAGAGAAGACAAGGACUGUGGGAGUGGACAUCAGUGCGUGAGGAAGGGCUGUGGGCACGUCUGCUCCCCCAUCCCUCAAGUAGGUGAGUCUGGACUUUCUGUAGAGUGAAAUGGACUUGAGCUUUCAAGGCAAAUGUCCUUGGAUUCAAAUCCCAACUCUGCUGUUGACCAGACAGCCCCUUCAUGUCCUCAAUCUAUGAAAUACAAAAUAAGAAAACUUACCAGUUAAAGCCCAUUUUGGUUACCAUUAACCUGCUUUCUUUGCAG
rnacentral:lncRNA from 1 species